rnacentral:ncRNA from 1 species
AAGCGAUCUGCAUGGGUUAGUAGACAGUUAACGCUGCGCAGUUGUUUGGUGUUUCCUCGUGCGAUUAACUUUACUACAUGGCAAAAAUUCAAUUGGGUCCUCCAGAAUGUUUUCAUUCAUCAGGAACGAAAGUUUAAGGUUCGAAGGCGAUCAGAUGUCGCCCUAGUUCUAAUUGUAAACGAUGCCAAUCAGCAAUCCGUCGGUGUUUAUUUGAAUACUCAACGGGAGAUUUUGGGAAACUAAAAUGGAUGGAUC